rnacentral:rRNA from 1 species
AAUAGAUACCCGGGUAGUCCACGCCGUAAACGGUGGGCACUAGGUGUGGGCGACAUUCCACGUCGUCCGUGCCGCAGCUAACGCAUUAAGUGCCCCGCCUGGGGAGUACGGCCGCAAGGCUAAAACUCAAAGGAAUUGACGGGGGCCCGCACAAGCGGCGGAGCAUGUGGCUUAAUUCGACGCAACGCGAAGAACCUUACCAAGGCUUGACAUACACCGGAAACGUCCAGAGAUGGGCGCCCCCUUGUGGUCGGUGUACAGGUGGUGCAUGGCUGUCGUCAGCUCGUGUCGUAAGAUGUUGGGUUAAGUCCCGCAACGAGCGCAACCCUUGUCCCGUGUUGCCAGCAGGCCCUUGUGGUGCUGGGGACUCACGGGAGACCGCCGGGGUCAACUCGGAGGAAGGUGGGGACGACGUCAAGUCAUCAUGCCCCUUAUGUCUUGGGCUGCACACGUGCUACAAUGGCCGGUACAAUGAGCUGCGAUACCGCGAGGUGGAGCGAAUCUCAAAAAGCCGGUCUCAGUUCGGAUUGGGGUCUGC